CUCUAAAAUAACGAUAUUUGAUAGUCUUUUAGCAAAAUAUAUUCUAAAUUGUUGUGUCUUAUGUUUAAUAGGUGAAUUUUCAUGGAUUAAAAGGAAGUGAAGGAAAGAAGAAAAAAUUGGGCGAAAAUGGCAAUAUCUAAAGUGCAUGGAUUAAAGUGGCCAUUGAAAGAAAAUUGGGAGCUUGGAAACAAAUACCACCAUAAUGAGCCUCAAGUUUAAGCUGGACUUGGACUGCCGGUACUUUAAUUAAAAUGUGCUGGACUCUUGAGGGAAGAAAAACACACGUAGCUUGGCAAAUUGGAGAGCAAUUAGAAUCCUUUUGAAAGUCAAACAUUGUAGGCUAGGUUACCACUAAUAUAUAUACACAUGCUGGAAUAUAUAAAAAGGAGGAGGAGGAUAGUUACAAAUUAAUUGGGAACGGCAGCUAGAAGGAGAAUUAUACAUGCCAACUGGGGAAAAUUAUGCCCACUGCAGAAUUAAAUAUAUAUACAAGUGAGGGAAUUAAUAGGGCUACAUAUUGCUGAAGAUUAUAUAAUUACCCACAAAAAGGCAGAAUUGAUACAGAUUCAAACACAAAAUUGCUGCUGUUUUUAAAUUACAUUCACAUGAGAGAAAGUCGAAGAUACACGAGCUGCCUACUGCUAGGGAAUUAAAAAAGGGAAUUACGCAGGCAGAAAUCAAGAGAUACGAAGACGGCAAACACGAGGAAGACCCGGACUAUUGGAAUUAAUUACGUUUCGUCUAUUUCUCGAUGAAGCCGUUCUAUUUUUAUGCGUUUAAUUCCAACAUUAUGUUAGGCUAAUUUGUUUAAUGUAUUGGAUGAGACGAACCCUAUUGUCUAUUUAUUUCUAAUUCAAGACAAGUAAUCUAGUUUAAUUCUUGAGUUUGUUGAUUAAUUUUGCAUUUUCAUUGCACUAUUACAUUGUUUGGCCAUCAAUUAAAUAGUUAGUUGGUUGUUGUAGUGUAGGAAUACUCACAACGAGUUUAGAAUGCGAUAAAAUUAACAUGUAUAGUUAGAAUUAUGAAUAAUCUCUUUCACACAUGCAAUC
rnacentral:lncRNA from 1 species